CACGUGACAAAGACUUGAUCGUAGAUAGGGAGGCUGCAGAGUUUUUGUCUCCAAAAUAAUCAAGCAAGGAAACACCCAGGAGGCACAGGGCCAACCACCCUCCUAGAAGCUGGUGGGGCUGGAAGAUGCGGAGGCCCAGUCUGUGGGCAGCAGCAUGCCUUCUGUGUGGCUCACCUGUCUUUUCCUCCUUCGGGCAUGACACCAGAUAAGAGGUUUCUGACAGACUCUGGGAAACCCGAGGAUGUGCUAUACAAGGAAAUGCAUUUUAAAAGCCGAUCAAGGACAGGACUCUUUGUGAUUUGGCUUGGUGUGCCUGAACUCUCGCCCCAUCUGGGAGUUUUCCUCCGGAACGCUGACAAUAUAUUCUCAGGUUCCGGGAACAGGCUGAGCUGUUUGUAACAACACAGAAGAUUAGUCAACUUGUUAUCCGACUUGUAACUCCUGAAGGCCGGACUGCAGACCCUCCCCUUCCCUCCCACUGUUACAUUUGUAGCUCAAGGCUGCACCUAGUUAUCUCUGUCCUUGCCCAAAUGUAAUCCGCCAACUGGCGAGGGGAGUAACAGAUUUUCGGACUGCUCCCUCAUGUUGCCGGCAUUAUUGGAAUAAAUGCUCAGAUAUGAA